rnacentral:tRNA from 1 species
AGGUGAGCACACCGCUGAGUCCAGGAGGACUCAUAAUCCCUUGGCCGCGGGUUCGAGCCCCGCCCGGCCCA